CCGACUUUAGCUCAGUUGGUAGAGCGGAGGACUGUAGUUGGAGUAAUAAUCUGAGUUGAAAUCCUUAGGUCGCUGGUUUGAAACUAGCAGGUCGGA
rnacentral:tRNA from 1 species